AGUGAACGCUGGCGGUAGGCCUAACACAUGCAAGUCGAACGGCAGCACAGUAAGAGCUUGCUCUUACGGGUGGCGAGUGGCGGACGGGUGAGGAAUACAUCGGAAUCUACUUUUUCGUGGGGGAUAACGUAGGGAAACUUACGCUAAUACCGCAUACGACCUACGGGUGAAAGCAGUGGAUCUUCGGACCUUGCGCGACUGAAUGAGCCGAUGCCGGAUUAGCUAGUUGGCGGGGUAAAGGCCCACCAAGGCGACGAUCCGUAGCUGGUCUGAGAGGAUGAUCAGCCACACUGGAACUGAGACACGGUCCAGACUCCUACGGGAGGCAGCAGUGGGGAAUAUUCGACAAUGGGCGCAAGCCUGAUCCAGCCAUACCGCGUGGGUGAAGAAGGCCUUCGGGUUGUAAAGCCCUUUUGUUGGGAAAGAAAAGCAGCAUGUUAAUACCCCGCUGUUCUGACGGUACCCAAAGAAUAAGCACCGGCUAACUUCGUG
rnacentral:rRNA from 1 species